CGGGGUGAGUAACGCGUGGGUAACCUGCCUCAUACAGGGGGAUAACGGUUAGAAAUGACUGCUAAUACCGCAUAAGCGCACAGUACCGCAUGGCACGGUGUGAAAAACUCCGGUGGUAUGAGAUGGACCCGCGUCUGAUUAGCUAGUUGGUGGGGUAACGGCCCACCAAGGCGACGAUCAGUAGCCGACCUGAGAGGGUGACCGGCCACAUUGGGACUGAGACACGGCCCAG
rnacentral:rRNA from 1 species